rnacentral:rRNA from 1 species
AACGAACGCUGGCGGCAUGCCUAACACAUGCAAGUCGAACGAGACCUUCGGGUCUAGUGGCGCACGGGUGCGUAACGCGUGGGAACCUGCCCUUAGGUUCGGAAUAACUCCCCGAAAGGGGUGCUAAUACCGGAUAAUGUCUUCGGACCAAAGAUUUAUCGCCUUUGGAUGGGCCCGCGUUGGAUUAGCUGGUUGGUAGGGUAAAAGCCUACCAAGGCGACGAUGCAUAGCUGGUCUGAGAGGAUGAUCAGCCACACUGGGACUGAGACACGGCCCAGACUCCUACGGGACGCAGCAGUGGGGAAUACUGGACAAUGGGGGAAAGCCUGAUAAAGCAAUGCCGCGUGAGUGAUGAAGGCCUUAGGGUUGUAAAGCUCUUUUACCCGGGAUGAUAAUGACAGUAACGGGAGAAUAAGCACCGGCUAACUACGUG